rnacentral:rRNA from 1 species
AUUUGGCGGACGGGUGAGUAACACGUGGGUAACCUGCCCAUAAGACUGGGAUAACUCCGGGAAACCGGGGCUAAUACCGGAUAACAUUUUGAACCGCAUGGUUCGAAAUUGAAAGGCGGCUUCGGCUGUCACUUAUGGAUGGACCCGCGUCGCAUUAGCUAGUUGGUGAGGUAACGGCUCACCAAGGCAACGAUGCGUAGCCGACCUGAGAGGGUGAUCGGCCACACUGGGACUGAGACACGGCCCAGACUCCUACGGGAGGCAGCAGUAGGGAAUCUUCCGCAAUGGACGAAAGUCUGACGGAGCAACGCCGCGUGAGUGAUGAAGGCUUUCGGGUCGUAAAACUCUGUUGUUAGGGAAGAACAAAUGCUAGUUGAAUAAGCUGGCACCUUGACGGUACCUAACCAGAAAGCCACGGCUAACUACGUGCCAGCAGCCGCGGUAAUAAUC